AGUAACGCGUGAGGAACCUGCCUCAAAGAGGGGGACAACAGUUGGAAACGACUGCUAAUACCGCAUAAGCCCACGGCUCGGCAUCGAGCAGAGGGAAAAGGAGCAAUCCGCUUUGAGAUGGCCUCGCGUCCGAUUAGCUAGUUGGUGAGGUAAUGGCCCACCAAGGCGACAAUCGGUAGCCGGACUGAGAGGUUGAACGGCCACAUUGGGACUGAGACACGGCCCAG
rnacentral:rRNA from 1 species